AUUUCUGGGUUAAUUAGGUAGCCCAGAUUAAACCCCUUGAAAACGGGGGAACUCUGGAGUUGCAUGGUUCGCCAAAACUGGGGAUAAUCGACAAGGAACCUUACCAAGUUGAUAUUAAACAAAGAAAAGGUUUUUUGGGCGCUAAUUGCGAUCGCAUAUGGCACUACAGACAAUCCCGUGCCUAGCUCAUAGAUAGUGAGAAGGUGUAGAGACUAUCCAGCUUAUGGAGUAGGCAGUAAGCGGUUGACUGUCGAAGCGGGGGGCUCUUUUGUUUAACAAAAGAUGAUGAUAUAGUCCGAUCUAUGUGGUGACACAUAG
rnacentral:ncRNA from 1 species